AACGCGGUGGGAGCGGCGGAAGUGGCGUCCUGACGGGCGCACUAUUCCACCAAGCGCGGGAAACAGGCGGUGGUGCGCAUUGACCGCCCGACUGAGGUGGCGCCGACGACGACGGCCAUGGCCUCCCGCAGAAAGCUACGUACAGCUUUGGAAGAAAGAAAACUCAAAGUGCUUGCACACAUCUCUUUGUCCGGCUCACGGGAGGUUACCAGUAGUAAGUGGCCAUUAGGAUUAAUCAGAACUUAGUACAAGAGAUCGUGCAUGUUCUUGGCUGACCUCACAGCGUAGCGCCAGGAAGGCUCUCUUGCUUCCUUUGACUGGUAACUUUUCUUUUUUGCUCUGAGGGUGUGGCUUGGGCACUAAACUAGGCCUGGAAAGCGUUAGAUUGGCUCCGGGCCAUGUGAAUUGCACCACUUAAUCGCUGAGUAGGUUCUUUAAGAUAUAGCACUAGAAAAAUGAUUAGGCUUUGCUUCUCUGAUCGAUCGUUGAGCUAACCAAUUUGUUUAUGGCCUCUAGGUACCGAACUGCAUCAACGGCGACUAAGCGCCAUGUGGAUUCACACUGUCUGGUGCCAUGCCUGUAAAUGGAUUCGGCUACUUGGUCAAAAGGAUCAUCGUUUCUCGAUCUCACGUUUUUAAGAUUCCAAUUGAAUGAAUCUCAG
rnacentral:lncRNA from 1 species